CGGGUGAGUAACGCGUAAGCAACCUGCCCUCUAAUGGGGACAACAGCUGGAAACGGCUGCUAAUACCGAAUACGUUUUUUCUGUCGCAUGGCAGAAGGAAGAAAGGGAGGCUCUUCGGAGCUUUCGCUGGAGGAGGGGCUUGCGUCUGAUUAGCUAGUUGGAGGGGUAACGGCCCACCAAGGCGACGAUCAGUAGCCGGUCUGAGAGGAUGAACGGCCACAUUGGGACUGAGACACGGCCCAGACUCCUACGGGAGGCAGCAGUGGGGAAUCUUCCGCAAUGGACGAAAGUCUGACGGAGCAACGCCGCGUGAACGAUGACGGCCUUCGGGUUGUAAAGUUCUGUUAUACGGGACGAAUGGUACGACGGCCAAUACCCGUCGUAAGUGACGGUACCGUAAGAGAAAGCCACGGCUAACUACGUGCCAGCAGCCGCGGUAAUACGUAGGUGGCAAGCGUUGUCCGGAAUUAUUGGGCGUAAAGGGCGCGCAGGCGGCGUCGUAAGUCGGUCUUAAAAGUGCGGGGCUUAACCCCGUGAGGGGACCGAAACUGCGAUGCUAGAGUAUCGGAGAGGAAAGCGGAAUUCCUAGUGUAGCGGUGAAAUGCGUAGAUAUUAGGAGGAACACCAGUGGCGAAAGCGGCUUUCUGGACGACAACUGACGCUGAGGCGCGAAAGCCAAGGGAGCAAACGGGAUUAAUACCCCGGUAGUCCUGGCCGUAAACGAUGGAUACUAGGUGUAGGAGGUAUCGACCCCUUCUGUGCCGGAGUUAACGCGAUAAGUAUCCCGCCUGGGGAGUACGGCCGCAAGGCUGAAACUCAAAGGAAUUGACGGGGGCCCGCACAAGCGGUGGAGUAUGUGGUUUAAUUCGACGCAACGCGAAGAACCUUACCAAGCCUUGACAUUGAUUGCCAGGGACAGAGAUGUCCCGUUCCUCUUCGGAGGACAAGAAAACAGGUGGUGCACGGCUGUCGUCAGCUCGUGUCGUGAGAUGUUGGGUUAAGUCCCGCAACGAGCGCAACCCCUAUCUUCUGUUACCAGCGGUUCGGCCGGGGACUCAGGAGAGACUGCCGCAGACAAUGCGGAGGAAGGCGGGGAUGACGUCAAGUCAUCAUGCCCCUUAUGGCUUGGGCUACACACGUACUACAAUGGCUCUUAAUAGAGGGAAGCGAAGGAGCGAUCCGGAGCAAACCCCAAAACAGAGUCCCAGUUCGGAUUGCAGGCUGCAACCCGCCUGCAUGAAGCAGGAAUCGCUAGUAAUCGCAGGUCAGCAUACUGCGGUGAAUACGUUCCCGGGCCUUGUACACACCGCCCGU
rnacentral:rRNA from 1 species